GUAGGUGGCAUAGUAUGUCUGUAGUGAAAGCGUGUGGCUCAACCAUAUACACAUUACAGAAACUGCUAAGCUAGAGGGCGAGAGAGGUAACNUGGAAUUUCUGAAGUAGGGGUAAUAUCCGUAGAUAUCAGAAGGAACACCAAUGGCGUAGGCAGGUUACUGGGCNUGUUUCUGACACUGAGGCACGAAAGCGUGGGGAGCGAACCGGAUUAGAUACCCGGGUAGUCCACGCCGUAAACGAUGGAUACUAGCUGUUGGAGGUAUCGACCCCCUCCGUAGCGAAGCUAACGCGUUAAGCAUCCCGCCUGUGGAGUACGGCCGCAAGGCUAAAACAUAAAGGAAUUGACGGGGACCCGCACAAGCGGUGGAGCGUGUUCUUUAAUUCGAUGAUAAACGAAGAACCUUACCAGGGCUUGACAUCCCGAGAAUUCUGUCGAAAGACGAGGGUGCUUUAUUGAACUCGGUGACAGAUCUUGCAUGGCCGUCGUCAGCUCGUGUCGUGAGAUGUUUGGUUAAGUCCAUCAACGAGCGCAACCCUUGUGGCUAGUUGAAUUUUUCUAGUCAGACUGCCCCGGUAACGGGGAGGAANGANGGGGAUGAUGUCAGGUCAGUAUUUCCCUUACGUCCUGGGCUAGAAACGUANUACAAUGGCUAGUACAAUGCGCAGCNAAGCCGCNAGGU
rnacentral:rRNA from 1 species